GACGAACCGUGCGAACGUUGUUCGGAAUCACUGGGCUUAAAGGGCGCGUAGGCGGGCUGUCAAGUCUGGGGUGAAAUCCCGCGGCUCAACCGUGGAACUGCCUCAGAUACUGACGGCCUCGAGGGAGAUAGGGGCGAGCGGAACUAAUGGUGGAGCGGUGAAAUGCGUUGAUAUCUACAGGAACUCCGGUGGCGAAAGCGGCGUGCUGGACCUUUUCUGACGCUGAGGCGCGAAAGCUAGGGGAGCAAACGGG
rnacentral:rRNA from 1 species